AGAGUAAAGGUUACGGUAUAAGAUGAGUAUGCGUUCUAUUAGUUUGUUGGUGAGGUAACGGCUCACCAAGACUGCGAUAGAUAGGGGCCCUGAGAGGGGGAUCCCCCACACUGGUACUGAGACACGGACCAGACUCCUACGGGAGGCAGCAGUGAGGAAUAUUGGACAAUGGAGGCAACUCUGAUCCAGCCAUGCCGCGUGCAGGAAGACUGCCCUAUGGGUUGUAAACUGCUUUUAUACAGGAAGAAACCUUGGUACGUGUACCAAGCUGACGGUACUGUAAGAAUAAGGAUCGGCUAACUCCGUGCCAGCAGCCGCGGUAAUACGGAGGAUCCAAGCGUUAUCCGGAAUCAUUGGGUUUAAAGGGUCCGUAGGUGGAUAAUUAAGUCAGGGGUGAAAUCUUGCAGCUCAACUGUAAAAUUGCCUUUGAUACUGGUUAUCUUGAGUCAUUAUGAAGUAGUUAGAAUAUGUAGUGUAGCGGUGAAAUGCAUAGAUAUUACAUAGAAUACCAAUUGCGAAGGCAGAUUACUAAUAAUGUACUGACACUGAUGGACGAAAGCGUGGGUAGCGAACAGGAUUAGAUACCCUGGUAGUCCACGCCGUAAACGAUGGUUACUAGCUGUGUGGACUUCGGUCUGCGUGGCUAAGCGAAAGUGAUAAGUAACCCACCUGGGGAGUACGUUCGCAAGAAUGAAACUCAAAGGAAUUGACGGGGGCCCGCACAAGCGGUGGAGCAUGUGGUUUAAUUCGAUGAUACGCGAGGAACCUUACCAGGGCUUAAAUGUAAGUUGCAUUAGUUAGAGAUAGCUAUUUCUUCGGACCACUUACAAGGUGCUGCAUGGUUGUCGUCAGCUCGUGCCGUGAGGUGUCAGGUUAAGUCCUAUAACGAGCGCAACCCCUGUUGUUAGUUGCCAGCGAGUCAUGUCGGGAACUCUAACAAGACUGCCGGUGCAAACCGUGAGGAAGGUGGGGA
rnacentral:rRNA from 1 species